rnacentral:tRNA from 1 species
UGAGAGAUGGCUCAGUGGUUAAGAGCACUGGCUGCUCUGUCAGAAGACCUGAGUUCAAUUCCCAGCACUCAA